GAUGAAGAACGUAGCGAAAUGCGAUAAGUAAUGUGAAUUGCAGAAUUCAGUGAAUCAUCGAAUCUUUGAACGCAAAUUGCGCCCGCCAGUAUUCUGGCGGGCAUGCCUGUUCGAGCGUCAUUACAACCCUCAGGCCCCCGGGCCUGGCGUUGGGGAUCGGCGGAAGCCCCCUGCGGGCACAACGCCGUCCCCCAAAUACAGUGGCGGUCCCGCCGCAGCUUCCAUUGCGUAGUAGCUAACACCUCGCAACUGGAGAGCGGCGCGGCCACGCCGUAAAACACCCAACUUCUGAAUGUUGACCUCGAAUCAGGUAGGAAUACCCGCUGAACUUAAGCAUAUCAAUAAGCGGAGGA
rnacentral:misc_RNA from 1 species